rnacentral:ncRNA from 1 species
GAGAGCCACAUACAUCGAGAGGUGUACGUGUGGUUCGGGAGGGAGUUAGAUACAGACCGCUAAAGAAAUUUAGUAUGGCGGUAUCUUGCUUACCUUUU